rnacentral:misc_RNA from 1 species
GAUGAAGAACGUAGCAAAAUGCGAUACUUGGUGUGAAUUGCAGAGUCCCGUGAACCAUCGAGUCUUUGAACGCAAGUUGCGCCCGAAGCCAUCAGGUUGAGGGCACGUCUGCCUGGGCGUCACAUAUCGUUGCCCAAUGCCUAUUGCAGUGCAAUAGGAAUUUCUAGGGCGAAUGAUGGCUUCCCGUGAGCGUUAUUGCCUCGCGGUUGGUUGAAAAUCGAGUCCUUGGUAGGGUGUGCCAUGGUAGAUGGUGGUCGAGUUAGAACGAUACCGAUCAUGUGCAUGCUCCCCAAAAUAUGGCCUCUAUGACCCACACGCGUCUUUUGACGCUCAUGACGAGACCUCAGGUCAGGCGGGGCUACCCGCUGAAUUUAAGCAUAUCAAUAAGCGGAGGA